GUGGGGAAUAUUGGACAAUGGGGGGAACCCUGAUCCAGCCAUGCCGCGUGUGUGAAGAAGGCCUUUUGGUUGUAAAGCACUUUAAGUGGGGAGGAGGCUUACCUGGUUAAUACCUGGGCUAAGUGGACGUUACCCACAGAAUAAGCACCGGCUAACUCUGUGCCAGCAGCCGCGGUAAUACAGAGGGUGCGAGCGUUAAUCGGAUUUACUGGGCGUAAAGCGCGCGUAGGUGGUUAAUUAAGUCAAAUGUGAAAUCCCCGAGCUUAACUUGGGAAUUGCAUUCGAUACUGGUUAGCUAGAGUAUGGGAGAGGAUGGUAGAAUUCCAGGUGUAGCGGUGAAAUGCGUAGAGAUCUGGAGGAAUACCGAUGGCGAAGGCAGCCAUCUGGCCUAAUACUGACACUGAGGUGCGAAAGCAUGGGGAGCAAACAGGAUUAGAAACCCCGGUAGUCC
rnacentral:rRNA from 1 species